rnacentral:rRNA from 1 species
UUUGAUCCUGGCUCAGAUUGAACGCUGGCGGCAUGCCUUACACAUGCAAGUCGAACGGCAGCACGGGAGCAAUCCUGGUGGCGAGUGGCGAACGGGUGAGUAAUACAUCGGAACGUGCCCAAUCGUGGGGGAUAACGCAGCGAAAGCUGUGCUAAUACCGCAUAAGAUCUACGGAUGAAAGCAGGGGAUCGCAAGACCUUGCGCGAAUGGAGCGGCCGAUGGCAGAUUAGGUAGUUGGUGAGGUAAAGGCUCACCAAGCCUUCGAUCUGUAGCUGGUCUGAGAGGACGACCAGCCACACUGGGACUGAGACACAGCCCAGACUCCUACGGGAGGCAGCAGUGGGGAAUUUUGGACAAUGGGCGCAAGCCUGAUCCAGCCAUGCCGCGUGCAGGAUGAAGGCCUUCGGGUUGUAAACUGCUUUUGUACGGAACGAAACGGCUCUUUCUAAUAAAGAGGGCUAAUGACGGUACCGUAAGAAUAAGCACCGGCUAACUACGUGCCAGCAGCCGCGGUAAUACGUAGGGUGCAAGCGUUAAUCGGAAUUACUGGGCGUAAAGCGUGCGCAGGCGGUGAUGUAAGACAGUUGUGAAAUCCCCGGGCUCAACCUGGGAACUGCAUCUGUGACUGCAUCGCUGGAGUGCGGCAGAGGGGGAUGGAACUCCGCGUGUAGCAGUGAAAUGCGUAGAUAUGCGGAGGAACACCGAUGGCGAAGGCAAUCCCCUGGGCCUGCACUGACGCUCAUGCACGAAAGCGUGGGGAGCAAAUAGGAUUAGAUACCCUGGUAGUCCACGCCCUAAACGAUGUCAACUGGUUGUUGGGUCUUCACUGACUCAGUAACGAAGCUAACGCGUGAAGUUGACCGCCUGGGGGGUACGGCCGCAAGGUUGAGACUCAAAGGAAUUGACGGGGACCCGCACAAGCGGUGGAUGAUGUGGUUUAAUUCGAUGCAACGCGAAAAACCUUACCCACCUUUGACAUGUACGGAAUUUGCCAGAGAUGGCUUAGUGCUCGAAAGAGAACCGUAACACAGGUGCUGCAUGGCUGUCGUCAGCUCGUGUCGUGAGAUGUUGGGUUAAGUCCCGCAACGAGCGCAACCCUUGUCAUUAGUUGCUACAUUUAGUUGGGCACUCUAGUGAGACUGCCGGUGACAAACCGGAGGAAGGUGGGGAUGACGUCAAGUCCUCAUGGCCCUUAUAGGUGGGGCUACACACGUCAUACAAUGGCUGGUACAAAGGGUUGCCAACCCGCGAGGGGGAGCUAAUCCCAUAAAACCAGUCGUAGUCCGGAUCGCAGUCUGCAACUCGACUGCGUGAAGUCGGAAUCGCUAGUAAUCGUGGAUCAGAAUGUCACGGUGAAUACGUUCCCGGGUCUUGUACACACCGCCCGUCACACCAUGGGAGCGGGUUCUGCCAGAAGUAGUUAGCCUAACCGCAAGGAGGGCGAUUACCACGGCAGGGUUCGUGACUGGGGUGAAGUCGUAACAAGGUA